rnacentral:lncRNA from 1 species
CACAACGGGAAUGCCAUCCUGUUUGUCAAAUAACUCAAAUUACACGUAUACUUUCACGGGGUCUAAACUGGUUUCGACGAGCAACAUCUGGCCAAAAAUUCGCUCAGUAGAACACUAAUAUACCGUCAUCCGUAAAAUUGACGUUACUUGCACAACUGCAGAUAGAAAUAACAGUUAUAUUUGGUCAAAAUUUUCCAUUCCAGUACUGCAAAAUAUACAGCAAGCGAACAGACAAUUGUUUGACCUGCCCGAGGGAGGGAGGGGAAGGUAAUAUUUGUGCAGCAAUAUGUAAACAAAGCGCGCAGGAAUUUACACUUGAUCAUCAGGAAGCAAGGACGGCAAAUCUCAAGAAAUAAUAUGCUUUUUCUCUGUUUCGUCUGGUCGUAUGAGCUUACGUAAAGUCGGUUGAAAUGGCGCAUUUUAACACGACAUUUCACACAGCGAGUGGCGCACUUGCUAAUGGUGGGAUACGUCACGAUCUGGGAGAAAUCUCAGUGCAACCAGCGAGACAGAGCGAGCAUAUACUUUCGAAGCUAGGUCGGCUUUCCAGGCCGAACACGAUCGAGGAAUUCGUCGUAAAAGAUCGAGGAAUUCGUCGUAAAAGACGAAAAAUAAUUAAACAAGAAAGAGCGAGAGAGAUAUACAGGGAUGUUUGAAAGAGAAAAAAUAUCUGAGAGGGAAAGAAAAAUGCAGGAGAGAUUUAUUAUCGAGCACGAAAAUAGGAAGAAAAUAGAAGCUAGUCGUUCGUGUACGUACACAAAGAGGGAACGUGCUGUUGACUUCUGGCGACUGUGGGACAAAGAGAAAAUGUUACGCAGUACGAGCAACAUGUGAGUAAAAUAGCAUAAAUUUAUACAUUCAAAACUAGUCAAAACUGUACUUCUCGUAAUACCAUCCGCAUAUUUUAAAGACAGUAUGGAUCCUAUAAAUACGUGAAGUAUCGUAAAGUUCCUGAAACCCGAAGCUAUUAUAUAUUUCGAAUUUCCCAAUUUAAUACCCACACUGAAACAAUUAACAUGUAAUACUACAGAUAUACUCGAUAAAUGUAUAGUGUUCUAUACUGAAUUCUGCAGAUCAGCAGACGUAGGUAAACAAUAACUGCAUGUCUAGUGACUAGUGUUUCUAAGCAGGACAUUUUUAAAGAAUUUGUCAG